CCUACGGGGGGCUGCAGUGGGGAAUAUUGGGCAAUGGGCGCAAGCCUGACCCAGCAACGCCGCGUGAAGGAAGAAGGCUUUCGGGUCGUAAACUUCUUUUCUGAGGGACGAAGAAAGUGACGGUACCUCAGGAAUAAGCCACGGCUACCUACGUGCCAGCAGCCGCGGUACUACGUAGGUGGCAAGCGUUAUCCGGAUUUAGUGGGGGGAAAGGGCGUGUAGGCGGGAAAGCAAGUCAGGAGUGAAAACUCAGGGCUCAACCCUGGGCCUGCAUUUGAAACUGUUUAUCUUGAGUGCUGGAGAGGCAAUCGGAAUUCCGGGUGUAGCGGUGAAAUGCGUAGAUAUACGGAGGAACACCAGUGGCGAAGGCGGAUUGCUGGACAGUAACUGACGCUGAGGCGCGAAAGCGUGGGGAGCAAACAGGAUUAGAUACCCUGGUAGUC
rnacentral:rRNA from 1 species